rnacentral:rRNA from 1 species
CAGUCGCCACGGUAAUACGUAGGUGGCAAGCGUUGUCCGGAAUUAUUGGGCGUAAAGCGCGCGCAGGUGGUUUAAUAAGUCUGAUGUGAAAGCCCCCGGCUUAACCGGGGAGGGUCAUUGGAAACUGGGGAACUUGAGUGCAGAAGAGGAGAGUGGAAUUCCAUGUGUAGCGGUGAAAUGUGUAGAUAUAUGGAGGGACACCAGUGGCGAAGGCGACUCUCUGGUCUGUAACUGACGCUGAGGCUCGAAGGCGUGGGUAGCAAACAGGAUUAGAUACCCCGGUAGUCCCUGUCUCUUAUAC